rnacentral:rRNA from 1 species
AUACGGAAGGUCCGGGCGUUAUCCGGAUUUAUUGGGUUUAAAGGGUGCGCAGGCGGAGAUGCAAGCGUGACGUCAAAUUUCGGGGCUCAACCCCGUCUCGCGUCGCGAACUGCGUCCCUUGGUUGCGGGAAGGGGAGGCGGAACUCGUGGUGUAGCGGUGAAAUGCAUAGAUAUCACGAAGAACUCCGAUCGCGAAGGCAGCCUUCCGGCCCGUCAACGACGCUCAUGCUCGAAGGUGCGGGUAUCAAACAGGAUUAGACACCCUGGUAGUCCGCACAGUAAACGAUGGACACCCGCGGUUUGGCCUGUAUGGCUGAGCCGCCAAGCGAAAGCGUUAAGUGUCCCACCUGGGGAGUACGCCGGCAACGGUGAAACUUAAAUGAAUUGACGGGG